rnacentral:rRNA from 1 species
AACGAACGCUGGCGGCAUGCCUAACACAUGCAAGUCGAACGAGACCUUCGGGUCUAGUGGCGCACGGGUGCGUAACGCGUGGGAACCUGCCCUUAGGUUCGGAAUAACUCCCCGAAAGGGGUGCUAAUACCGGAUAAUGUCUUCGGACCAAAGAUUUAUCGCCUUUGGAUGGGCCCGCGUUGGAUUAGCUAGUUGGUAGGGUAAAAGCCUACCAAGGCGACGAUCCAUAGCUGGUCUGAGAGGAUGAUCAGCCACACUGGGACGUAGACACGGCCCAGACUCCUACGGGAGGCAGCAGUGGGGAAUAUUGGACAAUGGACGAAAGCCUGAUCCAGCAAUGCCGCGUGAGUGAUGAAGGCCUUAGGGUUGUAAAGCUCUUUUACCCGGGAUGAUAAUGACAGUACCGGGAGAAUAAGCUCCGGCUAACUCCGUG